rnacentral:rRNA from 1 species
UACGGGGGGGCGAAGCUUGUUCGGUAAUUACUGGGCGUAAAGGGCUCGUAGGUGGCCAACUAAGGUCAGACGUUGAAAAUCCCUCGGCUUAAACCGGGGAACUGCGUCUCGAUACUUGGAUGGCGUAGAGAUUGGGAGAGGGGAUGCGGAAUUCCCGGUGUAGCGGUGAAAUGCGAUAGAUAUCAAGAGGAACACCUGCGGCGAAGGCGGGUUGCUGGGCCGACACUGACGCUGAGGCGCGAAAGCCAGGGGAGCGAACGGG